GGUUAUGUAAUAAAUGGUGAUGAGUCAGACCAGAACAGGACCGCAGUCCAUUACAUCCUCCGCUCGGGACUCAAGAGCUGUUAAAGAGGAUAAGGCUCAUUGCCACCCCUCAUGUGUUCCGAACACUCACAGAGGGGGCUCUGCUUUCUUGCUCCCAAGUUUAAGGCCACAUUCCUUUGAGCUGAAGCCAAAGGGCAGAUGCACUCUUGGGAUGAUGAAGGUUUCCACUGUCUAACAAGUCUGAAGUUUUAUAUUCAGGAAUUGCUUAUGACCAAUCAGUAAUUGCUCAUAUGUUGGAUUGAGUAUUUGUAGGUCUGAUCAAUCUGAAUUUUGUGCAGUGCAUCUUUGCAUUUAUUUUUAUUUUUAAUAAAAUGGGUAGGGCAGAUUUAAUUUAUUGUAAACUAAAAUAAAAUGCUUCUGUAGAAUAAAAAAAAAAAACUGAUUCAAAUUAAAGACUGAUUUAUUUGAGGCUCUGUUAAACAAUGCUUUUAAUUUAGGUUUAAACUGUAUAGAUCAGUGAUUCCUAAAAAGGGGUAGGCCUACUUUGAAAAUUUUGCUUUGUUAAACUAUGACUUUAUCAAUUAAAUAUAUCAGUGGUGUCACUGAAAUUACAGUGCCUAGAGAAAAUCAUCAUACCGCUUUGAUAAUUUUUUUUUGUUGUUGUACAGCCUGAAAUCAAAACCCAUUCCAAAAAAACCCCUUUUCUAGCCUUAUUAGCAAAUUUUGCCUUAAAAAAAGAAAAGAAAAGAAAAAGAAAAAGGCAACAGUUCUGAAAAUUAAUAAUAAAAAAAAAACAGGGUUGGAAAAGUCAUCAGUCCCCUGAUUUAAUACCUUUUGCUUUAAUUACAGCCAUUAAUCUUUUUGGAUAUGUCUUUACUAGCUUUGCACACCUUGAUUCGGGAAUAUUUGCCCAUUCUUCCUUGCAGAAUUGCUCAACUUCAGUCAAAUUCCAUGGUGAGUGGCAAUGUACUGCUCUCUUCAAGUCCAUCCACAGAUUUUCUAUCAGAUUUAAGUCAGAGCUCAGGACAUUCACCUUCCUAUCCUUAAGCCAUUGCAUUGUUCUUUUAUGUUUAUCAGUGUCAUGUUGGAAGGUGAAUGACAUGCCCAUCUUCAGCUGUGUAGCAGAGGGACAGGUUUUCCUGAACAAUGUGGAUGUACUUGGCAGCAGCCAUUUUCCCUUCAAUCCUGACCAAUAGCCCAGUCCAUGCUGAAGAGUAAUGCUGCCACCACUAUGCUUCACAGUAGGUAUGGUGUGUUUUGGGUGGUGUGCUGUGUUUGCUUUUCGCCAAACUAUUGCCUUUUUCUUUUAUUUUUUACAAAAUUUGUAAGGUUUUUUUGGAAUGGGUUUUGAUUUUAGGCUGUAUAAGUCUAUACUAUUAUAACUAUUUCAAAAGGGGUAUAAUUAAUUGGUUUGAGUAGGGCAAACUCAAAUUAAACAAAUUAAUUCAAUCAAAUGAACUUUUAUGAGUAUUUAGAACUUUUUUCUUCUUUUGAGUUCACAAAACUGACACUUUUUAAGUAAUCUGAAUUGUUUCAUUGUUUUUAGUUUUAUGAACUUGUUUCUUUAAAUUUAGACAAACUUAAAUUUACCUGAAACUUGGCUGGGAUUUGUAUUUCCCAGCAUGCUUUGCCAUGACACUCAAAAAGGAGAAGUGUUAGCGGUGUUUAAUGCUUUGCUGUCCCAAUUUAGAAGUUUCUGUUAUGUGGGUUUUUUGGGGGGGUUUACCAUCAUGGUGACAAGUGGAACAUGAGCUUAGUUUGAGAAAAGUCAUCCCAGGAUGUGUCAGAAUUUCUAUAGUUUUUCAAGGUCAUGCCCAGUGGAGCGGAGAAUGGCAAUCACCGGAGAGAAAGAGCAAGUGGUGCCAAACCACAGCUUUUUCCUGAACACCCCCCCCCCCCCUCAAACAGCCCAACUAACCUGCCCCCACCCCAGAGACACACCUCAGGUAGGGGGUAAACCACUCCCCACACCCGUCCCCUUGAACACAAGGGGGUAUAAAUGGAGGUGCGAAAGAGGAGAGAGCGAUUCAGAGGACGAUCGUACAACCGAGAUAGAUCCAAUGGCGAGACAUAUCACAUUGAUGUUCUUCAUGGCCUGUUUGGUGUGGACAACAUGUUCAGCAGCACCAAUGCAGUGUCACUUCAACUCUCAAGCUCUGUGUGAACAUGAUGGAAAGCAGUACUCUAUGGGAGAAAGCUGGAUGGAGCAGGGCUGUGUGCAGUGCACCUGUCUGCACCCUGUGGGAGUGGGAUGCUGCGAAACUGUGCAUCGGCCUGUGGACUUUCCUCCCUGGUGUGAAGUUCGAGUUGAAUCUCUGACCUGCCAGGUCAUGCUGGUGUUGAC